AAGUCGUAACAAGGUUUCCGUAGGUGAACCUGCGGAAGGAUCAUUAACACGUAUCCAAACGUUAAAACAACCCUGUGAACCUUCAGCCGUGUUCUUGUGGUCGGUUAACAGAGCAAUCUCGGGUAACUUAGCUGCCAAAGAAUUACAGAUAUUAACCUCCGAGACUUCUCUAAGUACGCUGGGACCCACAAUUGAGCGCUAGAUAAAGCACCCUGGUACCCUGGAGCAAUCACCUGUCUGAAAGCGUCAAGUGAUCAAUGUUCCCGGGUGGCGCAGUCAACGAUCGCUGUAGGUCCACACGACCGGCGACCGGGGUGGAGGCGAAAGCCCCGAGAACCCAUUAACCCUCCGGGACUUGGCGAAAGCUGACUCCGUCAUAAAUCGAACAACUGUUAACAAUGGAUAUCUUGGUUCUC
rnacentral:misc_RNA from 1 species